GAAAACUAAAAUAGCAGAGGCUACUUCUACACUGCACGUUUUUAUUUUUAAGAGGCGUUUUGAGACAAAAAGGAUCUCCGUCCAGAACUAGUCUCCGUCCAUAUUAACACGUCCGACAACGCAUAUCACACAACCGUUCAGCAGUGUUCUGAUGUUACUCUGCCGUUGAAAAUCAUGGAUGCAGAAGUUGAAAAUACUUUGGGAAAAGAACAAUAGCGGUGAAAAGUAAGAGCUGGGAUUUAUCAGCUUGGAACGAGGACGAGUUGGAACUGUUACCG